rnacentral:rRNA from 1 species
AAAUUGAAGAGUUUGAUCAUGGCUCAGAUUGAACGCUGGCGGCAGGCCUAACACAUGCAAGUCGAACGGUAACAGGGAUCAGCUUGCUGAUUCGCUGACGAGUGGCGGACGGGUGAGUAAUGUCUGGGAAACUGCCUGAUGGAGGGGGAUAACUACUGGAAACGGUAGCUAAUACCGCAUAAUGUCGCAAGACCAAAGAGGGGGACCUUCGGGCCUCUUGCCAUCGGAUGUGCCCAGAUGGGAUUAGCU